rnacentral:rRNA from 1 species
UAAGGAAUAUUGCGCAAUGGGCGAAAGCCUGACGCAGCGACGCCGCGUGGGGGAUGAAGGUCUUCGGAUUGUAAACCCCUUUCGGGAGGGAAGAUGGAGCGAGCAAUCGUUCGGACGGUACCUCCAGAAGCAGCCACGGCUAACUUCGUGCCAGCAGCCGCGGUAAUACGAAGGUGGCAAGCGUUGUUCGGAUUCACUGGGCGUACAGGGAGCGUAGGCGGUUGGGUAAGCCCUCCGUGAAAUCUCCGGGCCUAACCCGGAAAGUGCAGAGGGGACUGCUCGGCUUGAGGACGGGAGAGGAGCGCGGAAUUCCCGGUGUAGCGGUGAAAUGCGUAGAGAUCGGGAGGAAGGCCGGUGGCGAAGGCGGCGCUCUGGAACGUUUCUGACGCUGAGGCUCGAAAGCGUGGGGAGCAAACAGG